rnacentral:RNase_P_RNA from 1 species
UUAGUAAGCUGGGUGAUUACCUUCUCGGUAGAUAUUAUCGUGGGGGAGGAAAGUCCGAACACUCUCUCCCGCCAAACGGCGGGGAUAAAAAGAUAGGGGGUAAUACCCCCCGGCUGUAAAGCUAGAGGUGCGAGCAGAGACGCUUCGAGUUGAAAAACGAGAAGCGCCCUCCAUAGCUUAAAGCGAAGGAGGGCGAGUUCAGCUAUAAAAAGAAGGCUGAAGUGAAACGGCUAAAUCCUUAUUGGGUGCAAGAACGAACCAAAAACCUGGUUUAUCUAGAGUUUUGGGAAAAGUAGUUCGCAUGAGCCUUGGGGUAACUCAAAGCCAAGACAAAUGAUCACCUAACCUCUUAAGAGAUAGCUUUUUUCUGAUGAGGGUGAACAAAAUUCGGCUUAUAGGCUUACUAAGACA